UCAAGGCCAGCUCGGGAGCAGGCCUUCCUCCCAGCAGAGGACAAGAUGGAAGAACCCGAAUUUCUAGUGUUCUUUUCACAAAGAGAUUGGAACCAAGAUUACUAUCAUAGAAUGAGCAAACCCUGAGGCUUAUCGUCACAAUGAGGGAUCCUGGGAACAAAACCAGACAUAAUCUCACUAGUAGAAGAUAAAAGAAAUGUGAGCUUAUCUUCUACUCAAACCUGUAAGGCAGGGUGACCCUGCCAAUGAAGUUACAGCCACCCACUGGCUCUGGCUUUAACUUUGCUUAAACCAACUUGCAGUAAAGUGGAGAUGAUCAAGGUGAUUACCAGGAAAAUCAUCCAUUGGGUAACUACUAUGCAUCAGGCUUUCAAAAUUGUCUUUAUUUCCUGAACAGAACAGGAUAUGUGAAGAUACCAGAAAGAAUGACUGCCCUGCUCCAGGUUGGCUGCAGGAACGCUGGAACUUUCUGGCUUUUUCCACACGGUGGAAAGGAGAACUGUGAGCAGUUAUUUAGAAGAUUUGAAAGAUUCAACUGCUAAUCGGGACCUUUAGGCAUAAAUGCUUAAGGUUUUGAAAGGCCUAGGUUAGAAUGUUUUCUGAGUAGCUUUACCUCUUUCUGCUGCAGUUUCCAAGCCUAUGAAAAAGAGAUUAUUAUAGUCCAUCCUUAUAGAGAUGAUAGGAAGAUUACGUAAAAUAAUGACUGUAAAACAUUUAACACAGAGUUUGGCUCAGUAAGUGUUUGGUUUUAUUACCAAAGGAUUACAGUGCCUCCCUCCCAGCCCCCUUAUCUGUAUUUCAUUUCCUCAGUUUAAUUACCCUUGGUCAACCUGUGUCUGGAAGCAGAUGAUUCUCAUAAAAUAUUGUCAGAAGGCCAGUGGUA